rnacentral:misc_RNA from 1 species
CGAAGAAUGUAAGCCACCAGUAUAUGAAUUUCCGUGUAAUACCAGAAACUUCACCUGUUUGAAUCUCCCAAAAAUCUGCUGUAUAUUACCUCCAAAAUUGUUUCUGCUCAAAUCCAAAAAAGCCAAACUACUCAAGUUCAAAAGAGACACUGGAAUCACCGGAGAAAAACUGUUGUUUCCCAAGAACAAAGCUUCAAGACCAGAAAUCGAUCCUAUCUCAGAUGGAAUUUGUCCGGUGAAUUUGUUUCCCCACGCAUUCAAAAUUUUCAAAUUCCUACAAUUCGAGAUCUCCUUUGGAAACUGACCAGUGAAAUUGUUUUCUGACAGGUCGAAAAUUU